AACGCUGGCGGCGUGCUUAACACAUGCAAGUCGAACGGAAAGGCCCUGCUUUUGUGGGGUGCUCGAGUGGCGAACGGGUGAGUAACACGUGAGUAACCUGCCCUUGACUUUGGGAUAACUUCAAGAAACUGGGGCUAAUACCGGAUAGGAGCUCCUGCUGCAUGGUGGGGGUUGGAAAGUUUCGGCGGUUGGGGAUGGACUCGCGGCUUAUCAGCUUGUUGGUGGGGUAGUGGCUUACCAAGGCUUUGACGGGUAGCCGGCCUGAGAGGGUGACCGGCCACAUUGGGACUGAGAUACGGCCCAGACUCCUACGGGAGGCAGCAGUGGGGAAUAUUGCACAAUGGGCGGAAGCCUGAUGCAGCAACGCCGCGUGCGGGAUGACGGCCUUCGGGUUGUAAACCGCUUUCGCCUGUGACGAAGCGUGAGUGACGGUAAUGGGUAAAGAAGCACCGGCUAACUACGUGCCAGCAGCCGCGGUGAUACGUAGGGUGCGAGCGUUGUCCGGAUUUAUUGGGCGUAAAGGACUCGUAGGUGGUUGAUCGCGUCGGAAGUGUAAUCUUGGGGCUUAACCCUGAGCGUGCUUUCGAUACGGGUUGACUUGAGGAAGGUAGGGGAGAAUGGAAUUCCUGGUGGAGCGGUGGAAUGCGCAGAUAUCAGGAGGAACACCAGUGGCGAAGGCGGUUCUCUGGGCCUUUCCUGACGCUGAGGAGCGAAAGCGUGGGGAGCGAACAGGCUUAGAUACCCUGGUAGUCCACGCUGUAAACGGUGGGUACUAGGUGUGGGGUCCAUUCCACGGGUUCCGUGCCGUAGCUAACGCUUUAAGUACCCCGCCUGGGGAGUACGGCCGCAAGGCUAAAACUCAAAGGAAUUGACGGGGCCCCGCACAAGCGGCGGAGCAUGCGGAUUAAUUCGAUGCAACGCGUAGAACCUUACCUGGGUUUGACAUGGAUCGGGAGUGCUCAGAGAUGGGUGUGCCUCUUUUGGGGUCGGUUCACAGGUGGUGCAUGCCUGUCGUCAGCUCGUGUCGUGAGAUGUUGGGUUAAGUCCCGCAACGAGCGCAACCCUUGUUCACUGUUGCCAGCACGUUAUGGUGGGGACUCAGUGGAGACCGCCGGGGUCAACUCGGAGGAAGGUGGGGAUGACGUCAAGUCCUCAUGCCCCUUAUGUCCAGGGCUUCACGCAUGCUACAAUGGCUGGUACAGAGAGUGGCGAGCCUGUGAGGGUGAGCGAAUCUCGGAAAGCCGGUCUCAGUUCGGAUUGGGGUCUGCAACUCGACCUCAUGAAGUCGGAGUCGCUAGUAAUCGCAGAUCAGCAACGCUGCGGUGAAUACGUUCCCGGGGCUUGUACACACCGCCCGUCAAGUCAUGAAAGUUGGUAACACCCGAAGCCGGUGGCCUAACCGUUGUGGGGGAGCCGUCGAAGGUGGGACUGGUGAUUAGG
rnacentral:rRNA from 1 species